rnacentral:miRNA from 1 species
GCUAUAGAUGGUGCACUGCAUAGCUCCAGGGGGCGCCAUUUGCACAGACCACCAUAAUGGUGCCCCUCAGAGUUAGGCAGGUCAUAACUUGCAC